CGGCUGUCCGCUUCUGCUCCCCAAAAGCUAUCCGACCACCGACACGCAUCAGGUCUAGCGCGGUAGCGCCACCUGACUGGAAGCCGGCGGCGGGCGGUGCAAUCCCCGCCCAUUCCCCUCCCAACUGCCCUCUAGCCCCUUCGAGCUCUGGAGCUCCAUGAUCGCCGGCCUCCAUUUCAGAAUUUUUGGAGCCGUUCUGAGCGCCGGAGUCGGCGGUUCUGCCUGUGCAGCUGCAUCACGUUUCAGCCAAAAUCACAAGAAAAGCCUGCCGAAUGCCUCAUGUCGAAUGCGCAUUCGACGACCGCCCACCACAGGAUACACUGAAAAAUGUACUGCACGAUCGGAAAUUGCGAAUGCAGCAUCCGAGCCCCGUUCGCUUAGCACAGUCACGUGUUGGCCAGUCACAGAAACAAACUGCCAAUGACAAUGACAAGUACAUGAUGGUUGCUUUAUGACUUCUGUAUUCUGUCUGUUCAGACUAAACACUUUGUUACCUCUACAGUUAUUUACUUCUUUACCCUUCUGGGCCUUCUAGGCUGCAAAUGCAUUUCAUUUAAUGGCAUAUUGACCUAGCUAUGUACUGGAGUAAGUCAUUAGUGGGCUGUUUAUAUGGCACAUAAUUCAUAAAAUAUCCUUUCCAGUGCUUUCAGUUGGAUGACAGAGACUCACUUUCUGUAGAUGGUGCUCUUUUGAUGCCUGCUUGGUCCUUUUGGUAGCCCUUUGCAUGGUUUAUUGUUCCCAGUCUCUUUCUUUAUAGUUUCUGCUAGACUGUGAAUCAAGCAAUGAGAUACAUUGAACACUAAGUCUUGUUUUUGGUGUUGAUAAUGUAUAAAACUUUUGGUGACAGAUAACCAUGAAAACAUUUCGGUUUCUCAGGUAGGAUUGCAAAACUGUUUUUGUCUCCUUUACCUUAUUAAAUGAAAUGAGGACAAGAUGAUGCUUUGUUCAUCCACUAUGAACAGUGUGACAGGUUGUUGUACCUGAAAAAUUGAAAGGAAGAGAAGUACGUUAGCAAUGGUAAAAUUUAUUUCCUUUCAGCAUAAUGGCACUAUUUAUUUUUUCUAAUCGUGCAUGCAAGACUGAGUCUUGUCAAUGUUGUCUAUUCUUUUACAUAUAUGGACGCUAAUGUGCAAUCUGGAUCCUCUACAUCAGAUUACAUCUCACCAUAGAGUGUACAUUCUCUAACUUAAAAAGCUUGUACUUGCAAUAUUAAAAUAAGCUAUUUCUCAUUUUAUGAAAAAAAUCUGAAAGGUCGGGAGUUUGACUUCCGGUUUUUAAAAAAGCCCACCUGCUGUGCUAUUUUUCAGGGAAAAACAUGUUCUUAUGUGGUUGCAGCAAGGAAAAUAAUUUUCUAUCUUUUGGUCAGUGCUUAUGAUAACAUAUUUCAUAAUAAAUCUAAUAGUACUUAUUUCAUAUAAUGAAUAUUAGUACAUGUUUUGUAAAAGUUGGUAAAAUCUAAGAAUGUUUGAGUUAGCACUGUAGCUAGAAGUGUACUCUUGUUGGGACGAGGGAGUAAUUAAUUUGUGAUAGGAUUUUAGAAAAGUAUAUCUGAACAACUGGAUAUGAUUUGGGUAACUAGGUUGAUUGACUAAAACUAGUAUGAAACUCUUGCGUACGAGGCUAUUGUCCUAUAUAUAGUUCUUCAAUCCUAGUAGUGAUUUUAGUUUUGGGAAGCCUGUAUAGAAGAGUCUUCAUUUGGUUCCAUGAUGCACCCCAGUUACAUCUGUCUUUUUUCCUUCCGUUUCUGUUGCAUGUCCAUUUCCUUCCAUACGCCUUUUUUUUAAGAGAAAACUGAAACUAGAGGGGAGGCCCAGUGCAGUUGCUCUUCGCAAAGGUAGCAGUUAGCACAGUAGUCCCUGCAGAAGAAAAGAUUCUCAAGGCCGUACCAUGAACUGAUUUUCACUUUUUACCAUCUUAGAUGAACUGCCUCUGAUGGUUAGCACAUACUAUUUAUAACUUAUUAGUAUAUUAGUAUAAUCCUCUCUCAUACAUGUAGAUAUGAUACCUCUCGCCAGCAUUACAGACAACCUAUCAGGUGUAUGCAGUGAUUUAUAACCACUGCAAUUCUCAACCAAUGUUAUCAGUUUUGUUUCUGACAAACCAACAAUGGUGUAUAUUCUUUCAUGAAUGUAAGGUGAGGAAACUGCAAUUGGCCACA